CCUACGGGAGGCAGCAGUAGGGAAUUUUCGUCAAUGGGCGCAAGCCUGAACGAGCGAUGCCGCGUGAGUGAAGAAGGCCUUCGGGUCGUAAAACUCUGUUGCGGGGGAAAAAAAGCAGCAUCAGGAAAUGGGUGCUGACUGAUGGUGCCCCGCCAGAAAGUCACGGCUAACUACAGGCCAGCAGCCGCGGUAAUGCGUAGGAGGCGAGCGUUAUCCGGAAUGAUUGGGCGUACAGGGUGCGCAGGCGGUCCUGCAAGUCUGGAGUGAAAUGCCUGGGCCAAACUCAUGCCUGGAGUUGGAACUUGGAGGACUGGAGAGCAGGAGAGGGCGGGGGAACUCUAGGUGUAGCGGUAAAAGGGGUAGAUAUAUGGAAGAACACGAGUGGAGAAGGCGGCCGCCUGGGCUGUUGCUGAGGCUGAGGCACGAAAGCGUGGGGAGCAAAUAGGAUUAGAUACCCCGUAGUC
rnacentral:rRNA from 1 species